GAGUCCCUUCCGGCUGUCACUUCGCGGUGUCUCAGUUCAUUUGUGGGCCGAGGGAACUGAAGACAUUCCGGUGAGACAGCUUCUUACAGAUUUCCAGAGAUGAGUGGACUCAACAAUUUGUAAAAUGUAGUGUAUGUAUCCCCUGGUGGUUCUCAACUUGAGAUUUAGAGGGAUGUACCAGUAUCAGACUUUAGCAGACACACUGCUCAGCCUGGGCUGGAAGAAUUCUCCUCUGCUACCCAAAAGGGAAGAGCCCUGCUGUAGUUUAGAUGAGUGUCCCCCAAAGACCUCUGGCAGUCUCUAGCCCAGGGCAUUGUUGGGAUGUGGUGACACUUUGAAGAGGUAGGUUCCAACCACUCCCCUUCAUGAUGAAGAGUAUAGACUCAGGAACCAGACUUGCUAGACUGAAGGCUCAGCUCUGCCAUUUAUGACUUGGUUGAUCUUGGAUAUAUCACUUUUAUUUAUGAAAUGAAAAUCGUAAGAGUACUUACCAAAUGAGGUUGUUCUUAAGAUUAAAA